AGAUGAAGAAAUUAAUGGAAAGCCUUGCAGCUAUACGGGGCCCAGAAGUGUUAGGGAGAUUAGGGCUGUAAGGACAGCACGGUCCAGAUGUCCAGAGGUAACCAGAACACUGUGGACCUUACAUCAGCUGAGAAGUGACCUUGAGAAUGGGAACAUCCAGAAACACAGCGAUGGCCAGCAGUGGGGCAGGCAGUGGCCCUGCUGCAGUGAUGAAGGAGAGGCUGGACGAGAGCAGGGAGACAGGGCCAUUUUGGUGAGAAUACUCCAUGUCAGAUACCUGCUGGGCCUGCUGGGAGAUAGAGAGAAGAAACCUUAAACUACAAGCCCAGGCCCUAAAAAAGUGCAGAAUGGAGAUGGAAGUGCAAAGGCUAUAACACAUCAAUAUUUUCAAUUCCACAAAUAUUUAUUAAGCACUGACUAAGUGCCAGGUAUUGUUUCAGGAUCUGGGGAUUUAUCAAUGAAAUAAAGCAGCAAAAAUCCUUGCCUUUCCAGAGGUUACUCAGAAGAGAAGAUAAUUAAGGAAAAUACAACAUUUGGCAUAGUAAUUACUGAUAUGCUAUAGUUAUAGCAGGAAAAUGAUAGAAAAUGUGUGUGUUGCACUUUUAGAUUGAAAAUAGAGGAAAAUCAUUAGGAAUGUGUGGUUUAGUAAAAUUGUAAAAUGAAAGAAGUGAAACAUGGGGGUGAAACACACAUGGGGAUGCAGGUGGGAAUGCUUCAUAGCAAGUGCAGGGGCUCAGAGGCCAGAGAGUUCCAGGCGUGUUCAAGCAAAGGUAAUUAGGCCAUUUCCAUGGCUAAAGCCAAGAAAAGCAAGGCAGAGUGGUAGAGAAUGAUACUGGCAAAGUUGGGACAGGAAACAAAUCACAUGGAGCCAUAGAGACUUCAGUAGGAAACUUUACUUUUGCUCUGAGUUAUAUAGAAGACUAAUGAAGGCUUUGAGGUAACAAAAGUUGGCCUACAUUUUAAUAGGAUCAUUCAGGAUGCUGUGCUGAAAAUAAAAGAUCAGUAAAGAAUGCAGAGAGACUAUUCAGGGGUUGUGCAAUAAUCCAGGUGAGAUAUAGUGGCUUGGACCAAAGUGAAGUAGAAGUGAUGUGUAGCAGCCAGAUUCUUCAUAUACAAGUAGAGUAAAUGUUGUCAAAAGGUUUUACUUAUGGGUUGGGUAUAGGAUAUGAGAUGAGGAAAGGAGUAGAGGAUUCCUACAUAUUUAGUAUUUAGCCUGAGCAUUUGAAAGAAUACAACUGUUCUGUGCUGUGGUGAGAAGUGUAGGAAGGGCAGUGUCUUACUCACUCAUCACUGGGAUAAAUACCUGACAUCCACAGUUUAAAGGAGGAGGGGUUUAUUUUGGCUCACAUUUUCAGUUCAUGGUCAACUGACUCCAAGCCAGAAAUGGCAUGGUGGAAGGGUCUAUCAGAUGAAAACUGCUCAUAUAUCAUGGUGGGCAGGAAACAGCUAAGGGAGGACCUAGGAAAGGAGAUACUUCCAGUCAUGUUCUCAUUGACCUGACUCUCACCAGGCCCAUUUCCUAACAGCAAGUCAGUUAUGAACUCAUCAGUGGACUUAUCUACUGAUGAGUAUAGCACCCCCAUGAUCCAAUCAUCUUCCAAAUACACAUGGCUUUUGGGCAGCACUCCAGGUCUAAACCAUAAUAGGCAGGUGGUGUAAUGAAGUGAUGGGAGCUCAGGCUUGAACAACCUAAUGUGGCAUGCAUAUUAAACAUCCAAGUGUGGAUGUGUGCUCAUUUGCACCCAAGACCUUCGAUGACUCUUUGAAUUGAAAUGAAUCAAUUAAUGUAAAAAAAUGUUGAAAAUUCUUAGAGGUGACAGAUGGUUAAAACCAUUGAUAUCACUGAUGUUGCUUACAAGUUCCAGUUCAAUAAACUCAUGGAGGUGAAGGUGUUCAAUGUGCUAAGUUCCUAAGUAGAGUAGCAAGCAUGGAGUCAGAGAAAAAAUGCUUCUGAAAAACAAUCUUGGGGACUCAUGGCUCUUAAAAAGGAAACAUUAAUAUGAUACACUUAGAUAGACUGUCUUGUUCUCUGGGGUAACCAAUAAGCCUUCUGAAGCUUGCAAUGAGUUAAUGUACUUUAAUGUUCCUCUUUGAUUUUCAUCAUUUGAAAGAUCAAGAUGGGCCAUAUUCGGUUAAUAAUAUUGCACAGGUUGAGAAGGCUUUUGCUUCAAGACUGCUGAAAAAUCUGCUUUUGCUGUUUACUCUUCUUUCCAUCAUAGUUUAAAUGGGUUGUCAAAAAUUUCUCAAAAGAUGACCUAGAUUAUACAGUGCUGUGCUUCAAAUAAUGUUUUGAGACCAACAGAAUAAGUCUGAUUCUAUUAAUGGUAUAAAGAUACAAAACCCAGUAAGGCAGAUUUUUCAGGGACCAUAUGUCUCACUCAGGUCACAUAAAUUUAACUACACUUUGAAAAUCCAGAAGAGUUCUUGCAUCUCAACCCAAAAGAGUUAUAAUUUACUCCAUAAUAGAGGUGUAUCAAUUAUGUGGAUUUCUGAGGCCAUUAAUUAGGUUUUUUUCACUGAUAUUACUAUAGUUGUAGGUAGAGGAAGUCUUUUUCUAGAUGAUUAAAGAGUUUGGAAGUGUUUGCAAAUCAAAAGGUAUUUUUGAACCCUAUAGAAGGCAUAGAAUUUAAAACAUAAGACAAGUUAAGGGAUAAUUUCUGUAAGGUCCUUAUACUUGAAUACACUCUUAUUUUAUGAUUCAAAUCUCAGAGAAUUCUGAUUUCUAAAUAGUGAUUCACAUAUUUACAGGUACAAUGUUGUGUCUGAGGAGAUGUGGACAGUAGGAAGUGAUUGGGUACUUGGAAACUGAUAUUUAAUGGGACUGGGAGUGCCAUCAGAGGAUUUCAUAUCUACCUUAGAACAGAGAUUUUCAAACUGGAUUGCAACCUAUUAGGCAAAAAUUAAAUGUAGUGGGGUGUGUUGGCAUUAAAAAUGAAAGAAAUAGAAUAAAAUGUCAGCGUGCUUCAGCUGUUGUGAGUAUAGUCUGUAAAAUUUUCUUUCGGAUAUAUGUUUGGAUACACUGGUUCACCACAUAAAUUGUGUAUUUUACUCUGAAUCAUGUUUAAAAUAUUUUUGAAGGCCAUCUCUAAAAUUAAACUGUGAAAAUGAACUCUCUUAGGCCCUGGACCAAAUGGUAAGCAGCAUGUAAAAGCUUAGGAGCUUAUUUAGCUGUUUACACCAAAGGCCACUUACCCAGUCUUACUUUGUAGGUGCUUCUACAAUGAAAAAGGGACAGGACAUUUUGCUUCCCAGUGAGAUCUUCAAGGCAAUCAUGAAUAAUUACUGCUUUCUAAAGUUCUCUCAUACUAAUAGCAAGUACAUUUGUGAAGAAGGCAUUUUGUAAAUGUGAAAUAGGUAAGUGGUGUGCAGUAACAUUUGGAUAUUGUAUUUCCCUUUUGUUUGCAGCAGUUUUAUCACGAGUCAUUCCAUUUCCAUUGAUUCUGAUAAGUGAAGUGGUUUGUAUAUGUAAUUUCAUUUUAUUGAUCAGUACAUUCUCUUUAUGGAUAAUUAGGCCUUAUGUAAGAGCAGCAGUGAGAAUUAAAUUUUCUGAUAGAAAAAGACCUAUUUUUCCCAGCUGGUACUUAAAAGUAUAUCUGUGUACUUUCCAGACCUGUAAGCAGGAGAAAUUGUUCUUCCUUUUAUUUUCUAACUGCUGGGCUUUCGGCCUACAGCUGGCCUUUUGCUUUGUUGGAGAAGGGAAUCACUGAAGACUAACAAGUAGUUUAUUUUCUCCUGCUGACUCUGAUCCUAUACUGGUGGGAGGAAAAAGUCCCAGAUAAAGAAUGAGCAGCUGAGUGCUUUGUAUCAGGAGGUGCCAGUUUGUGGCUCUAUGGUCUUCCAUCCCAGAGAACUCUUGGGAGAAUUUAAUACUUAUCAUCCAAAAGUUCUGCUGCUUUAUUCUGUUGUAUGUUUAUUAGAAUAUAAACUCCAUGAUGGUAGGAAUUGGUUUACUAUCUCUUUGCACCUGGGACUGUAUUUGGGACAUAAAAAGUAACCAAUAUAAUUGUUUAGGGAUUUCAAAGGUACCAUCCCCAAAUCAGCAGCAUCAGACUUUGAGUAACAAAUUCUAGAGCCCUGAGUCUAAUCUAUGGAAUUGAGAACUCCUGGGGAUCAGCUGGUUUCAAUAAGCCCCCAGGUGAUUCUUACUGGCAUUACAGUUUAAAACUACAGGUUUAAAUACUCCUUAAAUUAGGGAGUUCUGGAGAGUUUUGCGUUUCUUCUCACUAGUGGGUUUUCUUAUUUAGCUUUGUGACUAAGGCUUCUUAGAGUGGGUCAGAAAAGAUGAGAAUGCAUCUUUUUUAUAUAUAUAAACCAGUGAGCUAGUCUCUUGAAAUACCCCACUGGUGUUUUCUGAAGACUUAAUUUAUAUGAUCUGGCUCUCCUGUUAUUCCUACGAAGAAAAGAAUUCUAAAGGGAAAGUGAUCAACCUAUACCAGGUACCAGCUACAGCUAACUGCACCUGCAAGAAGCUCAGAAAAGGCUUCUUCGAGAAUGACUCAAAAGAUUAUUCCUGAAAGGUCACCGAAGAAGGGGGGCACACAAGGACGUUCAAGCAAGCUUUAUUGGGGCGGCAGUCGCAGCCUGCCAGGCUGACUCACAGAAUGGAGACCAGCAACUGUACGGGCUGAGCUGGAGGCUUAUAUAGGGAUCUUGCAG